AACAGGGUACUGAUUAUGUAUCGACACCAGAUUUUGGGCUUUAUACAUAUCCUGGACGAGAGCUGCGACACGACAUAGAUUUUAAGGUCUACCCGCCGGAUAUAUAUGCAUUCGGACUAAAGUUGGACAGGGAAGGCUGUGCUGAAUAGGACCUGAUAUCCUAAUUGCAGGUCGAGGUUACUGGCAGAAUCUAUACGAUUCUAGGUUGACAAUACGGGGCUGUUUCCAGCAACGGUAAACGGGGGACAAAAGCUGGCGCAAGCUUGAAAUUUGACACAGAAAAGGAGUUCUUUGACUUUUUCUCCAUGGCUUGAACCACAUGAGAGAAAUCUGUGAGAGGCCUGAAUGAUUUUAUGAGCAAGCUGUAAAUUUGUUAGCAAACGAACUUGGUCUUGAUGGUUGACACUGAAGCUCUACCUAGAGAGGGAGAUAAGAGAGCACCCUGAUGAUACAGAAACCUUGGAACUGAUGUAACCUAUGCUUUCCAAAGGUAUUUGAUAGAGAAAUGGAGUAUACAAUUAUAAUAUGAUAGAAAUAAGUUAUAGACAAAUUGCUACAUUUGGACAAGCAUUGCUAAUGUUUUGCCUCGGAGUCCUGAGCUCGUAAGUUCAUGAACCAA